rnacentral:rRNA from 2 species
CAAUGGACGAAAGUCUGACGGAGCAACGCCGCGUGAGUGAUGAAGGUUUUCGGAUCGUAAAACUCUGUUGUCGGGGAAGAACAAGUAUGAUAGUAACUGAUCGUACCUUGACGGUACCCGACCAGAAAGCCACGGCUAACUACGUGCCAGCAGCCCGCGGUAAUACGUAGGUGGCAAGCGUUGUCCGGAAUUAUUGGGCGUAAAGCGCUCGCAGGCGGUUCUUUAAGUCUGAUGUGAAAUCUUGCGGCUCAACCGUAAACGUGCAUUGGAAACUGGAGGACUUGAGUGCAGAAGAGGAGAGUGGAAUUCCACGUGUAGCGGUGAAAUGCGUAGAGAUGUGGAGGAACACCAGUGGCGAAGGCGACUCUCUGGUCUGUAACUGACGCUGAGGAGCGAAAGCGUGGGGAGCGAACAGGAUUAGAUACCCUGGUAGUCCACGCCGUAAACGAUGAGUGCUAGGUGUUAGGGGGUUUCCGCCCCUUAGUGCUGAAGUUAACGCAUUAAGCACUCCGCCUGGGGAGUACGGCCGCAAGGCUGAAACUCAAAAGAAUUGACGGGGACCCGCACAAGCGGUGGAGCAUGUGGUUUAAUUCGAAGCAACGCGAAGAACCUUACCAGGUCUUGACAUCCUUUGAACCCUCUGGAGACAGAGCUUUCCCUUCGGGGACAAAGUGACAGGUGGUGCAUGGUUGUCGUCAGCUCGUGUCGUGAGAUGUUGGGUUAAGUCCCGCAACGAGCGCAACCCUUGAUCUUAGUUGCCAGCAUUUAGUUGGGCACUCUAAGGUGACUGCCGGUGACAAACCGGAGGAAGGUGGGGAUGACGUCAAAUCAUCAUGCCCCUUAUGACCUGGGCUACACACGUGCUACAAUGGACGGAACAAAGGGAAGCAAGCCCGCGAGGUCAAGCAAAUCCCAUAAAACCGUUCUCAGUUCGGAUUGUAGGCUGCAACUCGCCUACAUGAAGCCGGAAUCGCUAGUAAUCGCGGAUCAGCAUGCCGCGGUGAAUACGUUCCC